rnacentral:rRNA from 1 species
AGGGUUUGAUUCUGGCUCAGGAUGAACGCUGGCGGCGUGCUUAACACAUGCAAGUCGAACGGAGUACCCUUGACGGAGUUUUCGGACAACGGAUAGGACUACUUAGUGGCGGACGGGUGAGUAACGCGUGAGCAAUCUGCCUUGGAGUGGGGAAUAACAGCUGGAAACAGCUGCUAAUACCGCAUGAUACAGUUGGGUCGCAUGACUCUGACUGUCAAAGAUUUAUCGCUCUGAGAUGAGCUCGCGUCUGAUUAGCUAGUUGGUGGGGUAACGGCCCACCAAGGCGACGAUCAGUAGCCGGACUGAGAGGUUGACCGGCCACAUUGGGACUGAGACACGGCCCAG